rnacentral:rRNA from 1 species
UACGGAGGGCGCAAGCGUUGUUCGGAAUUACUGGGCGUAAAGCGCGUGUAGGCGGCCAGGUAAGUCGGAUGUGAAAGCCCGGGGCCCAACCCCGGAACUGCACCCGAUACUGCCUGGCUGGAGUCCCGGAGAGGAUGGCGGAAUUUCCGGUGUAGAGGUGAAAUUCGUAGAUAUUGGGAAGAACACCAGUGGCGAAGGCGGCUCUCUGGUCCGAUACUGACGCUGAGGUGCGAAAGCGUGGGGAGCAAACAGG